rnacentral:rRNA from 1 species
CCCUUAGAUGUUCUGGGCCGCACGCGCGCUACACUGUUCGACGCAGCGAGUCUUAACCUUGACCGAAAGGUUUGGGUAAUCUUCAGCAAAGUCGAACGUGAUGGGGAUCGAUCAUUGCAAUUAUUGAUCGUGAACGAGGAAUUCCUAGUAAGUGCAAGUCAUCAGCUUGCGCUGAUUACGUCCCUGCCCUUUGUACACACCGCCCGUCGCUACUACCGAUUGAAUGGUUUAGUGAGAUCGCUGGAUUGACGCUGGCUAGGGGGCGACCCUUGGCCAGACUGUUGAGAAACUGCUCAAACUUGAUCAUUUAGAGGAAGUAAAAGUCGUAACA